GAUCGGGCUCUAUUCAGAGGUUAUCUAAGUGAAUGAAGUCAGCCAUUGUCAAGGCGACAACAGUGAGUGAACAAAAAGGCACAAGAGCGCCAGCUCGGCGGGCCGCACCCUCCAUAGAGGAGCAGCACCGAGGCAUACGAAUGGAGGAGGAGGCCCGUGGGAUGAAUCUCUCGAAGUGAAAGUCAGCUGCUAUUUUAAAACGCAAGGAUGGACGAGGACGGUGGCGAGCCAAAGACUUAUGUGUCCACAGUGCGCCUGCUGCUGCGGGGGCGCACACGCAGCAAAGCCGAGCCGCUCGCCGAGGCGACGGCGAUGAGAAACGCCGCGGGGUUCUCACGUCCAACAGGUGAGAAGGCUCAUCAGAGUCCAUCAAAUUUCAUAAAUGGUGUCACCGGAGAUGACACAACACUGAGCUGCGAGAAUUCAUCUGGAAGUCACGUUACAG